AAAUUGAAGAGUUUGAUCAUGGCUCAGAUUGAACGCUGGCGGCAGGCCUAACACAUGCAAGUCGAACGGUAACAGGAAGCAGCUUGCUGCUUCGCUGACGAGUGGCGGACGGGUGAGUAAUGUCUGGGAAACUGCCUGAUGGAGGGGGAUAACUACUGGAAACGGUGGCUAAUACCGCAUAACGUCGCAAGACCAAAGAGGGGGACCUUCGGGCCUCUUGCCAUCAGAUGUGCCCAGAUGGGAUUAGCUUGUUGGUGAGGUAACGGCUCACCAAGGCGACGAUCCCUAGCUGGUCUGAGAGGAUGACCAGCCACACUGGAACUGAGACACGGUCCAGACUCCUACGGGAGGCAGCAGUGGGGAAUAUUGCACAAUGGGCGCAAGCCUGAUGCAGCCAUGCCGCGUGUAUGAAGAAGGCCUUCGGGUUGUAAAGUACUUUCAGCGGGGAGGAAGGUGUUGUGGUUAAUAACCACAGCAAUUGACGUUACCCGCAGAAGAAGCACCGGCUAACUCCGUGCCAGCAGCCGCGGUAAUACGGAGGGUGCAAGCGUUAAUCGGAAUUACUGGGCGUAAAGCGCACGCAGGCGGUCUGUCAAGUCGGAUGUGAAAUCCCCGGGCUCAACCUGGGAACUGCAUUCGAAACUGGCAGGCUUGAGUCUUGUAGAGGGGGGUAGAAUUCCAGGUGUAGCGGUGAAAUGCGUAGAGAUCUGGAGGAAUACCGGUGGCGAAGGCGGCCCCCUGGACAAAGACUGACGCUCAGGUGCGAAAGCGUGGGGAGCAAACAGGAUUAGAUACCCUGGUAGUCCACGCCGUAAACGAUGUCUACUUGGAGGUUGUGCCCUUGAGGCGUGGCUUCCGGAGCUAACGCGUUAAGUAGACCGCCUGGGGAGUACGGCCGCAAGGUUAAAACUCAAAUGAAUUGACGGGGGCCCGCACAAGCGGUGGAGCAUGUGGUUUAAUUCGAUGCAACGCGAAGAACCUUACCUGGUCUUGACAUCCACAGAACUUUCCAGAGAUGGAUUGGUGCCUUCGGGAACUGUGAGACAGGUGCUGCAUGGCUGUCGUCAGCUCGUGUUGUGAAAUGUUGGGUUAAGUCCCGCAACGAGCGCAACCCUUAUCCUUUGUUGCCAGCG
rnacentral:rRNA from 1 species